rnacentral:rRNA from 1 species
UCUGAGAGGAGUAGCCCGGAGAUGGGUACUGAGACACGGACCCAGGCCCUAUGGGGCGCAGCAGGCGAGAAAACUUUGCAAUGUGCGAAAGCACGACAAGGUUAAUCCGAGUGAUUUGUGCUAAACGAAUCUUUUGUUAGUCCUAGAAACACUAACGAAUAAGGGGUGGGCAAGUUUUGGUGUCAGCCGCCGCGGUAAAACCAGCACCUCAAGUGGUCAGGAUGAUUAUUGGGCCUAAAGCAUCCGUAGCCGGCUCUGUAAGUUUUCGGUUAAAUCUGUACGCUUAACGUACGGGCUGCCGGGAAUACUGCAGAGCUAGGGAGUGGGAGAGGUAGACGGUACUCGGUAGGAGGUGGUAAAAUGCUUUGAUCUAUCGAUGACCACCUGUGGCGAAGGCGGUCUACCAGAACACGUCCGACGGUGAGGGAUGAAAGCUGGGGGAGCAAACCGGAUUAGAUACCCGGGUAGUCCCAGCUGUAAACUAUGCAAACUCAGUGAUGCAUUGGCUUGUGACCAAUGCAGUGCUGCAGGGAAGCCGUUAAGUUUGCCGCCUGGGAAGUACGUACGCAAGUAUGAAACUUAGAGGAAUUGGCGGGGGAGCACCACAAGGGGUGAAGCCUGCGGUUCAAUUG